AACUAAAACUUUUCUCCAUCUCUUCGUAGCCGCCUCCCUCUCAUCUCCGAAUCUUCAUUAUUUUCAAAGGUAACAUUUAUUUCUAGUAAUCCAGUAUCUACAACUUUUGUUUCGUACUAUCUACGUUUUGCAUAGAUUGUCUCGAAGAUCUAAUUCGUUUUGCGAAUUCUGAAGCUUUGGUGGCUUAUUUGUGGCAAUUGAUGAUUUGGAUUUAUAUAUAUAUAUAUAUAUAUAUAUAUAUAUAUAUAAUAAAAAUGAUAUUGAUAUAUAUAUAUGUAUGUAUAAACAAUUUUCUGUACUGUUAUGUUUCAGUUUGUACUUUAUGAAUCGAUAAAAGAUAACGAAUUUCUCUUAUUAAUCAUUGAAAAAAGUAUCCAACUCAUGCUUAAUGUUGAAGAAUGUCUCAAUUUGUUCUUUUAAUGUUAUAUAUUUUUGGCUAUUUUUGUGCUGUGCAUAAUUUAAUUUGGUGAAAGUAUACUAAACAGUUAAAAUAGUUAAAUAGGGAUGGGGUAUUUUUAACUGAAUUGGGGUGAUUUGCAUAUGAUUAUUCUGUUCAUAUUUAGAAAAAAUCAUUCAUGUUUCAUGCUUAGGAAGGGGUCAAUUUGUUUCUUGGUGUCUGACAAAAUGUAGGUUUUACAUUUUGUUGGUUGAUGAGCUUUCUGCUUAGAUUGUUGAAUUAUAUUGUUGAAUUCACAAUUAGAACACAUAAGCUAAUUGAGAAAAUGGAUGUGAUAGUAUAAUCCACAUAAGCAGGCACUAUUAUCAUAGGACUAAAUUAAUCUUUUGGUGUACUUUUUGACUCUUGGCUUGAUUUUGCCCCCCCCCCC
rnacentral:lncRNA from 1 species